rnacentral:misc_RNA from 1 species
UCCUCCCUCAAACCUCGUGUUUGGUGUUGGACCGUGUUGGUCGAGCGACCAACUGGUCUCAAAGACAAUGACGGCGUCCGUGGGACCCUCGGUGCAACGAGCUUUAACCCAGCGCGCGUCGAGUUUCAAGGACCCUCCGGGCCGGUCUUGACCUCUAUCUUCUCA